CGCGCGCACGGCCGAGCAUGGCGGCGGCGGCCCGGCCGGCUCCCCGCGGCCCUGCCCGCCGGCUCCAGUGCCGUCUCGAGAGCAACAGGUUAAGCCGGCGAGACGUCAGCGCGCCCCCUCCCCGCCCCCCGGUUCUCCCCCCAGGCUCGCGCCGGCCUUCCCCCCUCCUCCCUCUGCCCCCCCGCUCCCCCGCUCCCCCGCUCCGGGUUCCCGGACGCUCCCGGCCGCGUUCUGUUGUCAUUGUGACGUCACAAAGGGACGGGCCCGGGUGGAACCUUCUCCUCCUCCUCCGUGACGUCAAAAGUCGGGCGGGAGGUUCCAGGCGGCGGGGCGGCCGGGGGGAGGAGGGAGCGAGCGAGCGGAGGCGGGGGCCGCGGCGGAGCGGGGCCGCGGCGUGGGAGGAGGAAGAGGAGGAGGAGGAUGCGAUCGGCCUCCGCCUUCCGCCCCGAAACGCUGCGCUUCCCUGCAGGUCGGCUGACGGUGUGGCAUUACUACGGUGGUCGCUGUGAUCGCUCAGCAACGCUUUUCAGAAAGCAAGGCAACUUUAUUCAGGGAACGCUUUGCUUUGUGGCAGGACUGUGUUGUGGAUUUGGCCACCUCGUCCCUUGAAGUCGUGUCUGGGGUGCCUUUGGGGGCUGUGACGGGAUGCCUUCCUGGGUGAUGCUGCUCAGCAGCAACUGUUGCUCUUUCUGGGAGCCCUGUAAUACCGGGGGAGGGGGUGGCGCUCCUCCUUCGUUGUGCCAGCUCUGUGCUUUAUCUUUUGGGGCGGGGGGGGGCGGACCAGGGAAGACUCGUCAUUGAUACGUGUUCUUGGAAGAGCACGGGACAACUAAGUCUCAAGGUACUCUGCGCUUAGUACUUCCGGACGGUAGAACAGGAGGCUCGCAGUCUGAGUCUGUUUAGUUUUCUGUAAAAUGGAAGAGGUAACACCUGCUUUUGCCCCUCACUUUUUUUUUUUAAAGAUUUAUUUAUUUGAGAGAGCGAGAAUGAGAGAGAGAGAGAGAGUACAUGAGAAGGGGGAGGGUCAGAGGGAGAAGCAGGCUCCUCGCUGAGCAGGGAGCCCGAUGCGGGACUCGAUCCCGGGACUCCGGGAUCAUGACCUGAGCUGAAGGCAGUCGCUUAAUCAACUGAGCCACCCAGGCGCCCCUUGCCCCUCACUUUUAUGUAGAAGGAUCCUGUGCGGGAAAGAUGUAAAACAGAGUCUGCUGCUCUCUGUGUCAGGGGGUGUUACUCCUCGAGCUGGUGGAAGGCAGCACGUUUCCUACAAUUGGUCUCAAGCCUCAGAUGCCUGCCGCGUUGCCAUUCAGUUUAUUGCCUCCGCGAAGCAGAGUUUGUGGGGUGGGACUGUCCAUGGCAGGCUUUGGGAGAAAUGAUGGUUAUAUUUCGUAUUAAAUGGUAUCCUUGAGAAACUCAUAAAUUGUAAUCUCGUCCUAAUUGUGCUGGGCACGACUCCCACCACAAUACCUUGAAUCCCUGAAAACAUUUGCUUUCAAAGUCCCAAUCCACUUGGACAAUAAAAACAGUUACAUGUCUCUGCUCCAUGGAUGUUUUCUGCCAUUUCCAUCACUCCACUGGAUGGGUUAUUUCUAGGGAGAAUAACGAGGGUGAUACCCAGGCUUCAACACCAUUUGAUCUUUGAGGCUUUAUAGCAGGUAGGAGUUUGAAAUUUAAAAAAAAAAACCUCUGCCACACGAAGCUCCGAGUCAUGUGCUGAGCACAAAAACAAAUGACCAGUUUGAUUUCUAGGACAGCUCAGGCAGAAUUUGUACCACUAGGCUGUCAAGUUUUAAGUAUCUAAUUUUCUGAUGUAAAAGUUGCAGUAUGAUUAAACAAAACUGGGAGAAGUUCACAUUACAAGGUUCAAAAGCAGGAUUUACUAUAAUUACAAUUACAUAAAAUUAUAAAGAAAAAAGGAGAAGUACACCAAAAUACAGUGGUAGGAUUUAUGAGCUCCUUCCCCGCCCCCCCCCCCUUAAUACCCUUGGGUUAUUUCACAGUUCUGAGGGAAAAAAACAAACAAACCUUGUACAUGUCAUUUAAUUGCUAUGUUUUUUCUUUCCUUAGCUGUUUACAUGGCUUUCUUUCUGCCUCUGUCUAGUAGCGGAAAACUUUACUCUUUGUUGCGUAAAUGUAUAUGGCAGGGACAUUUGAGUGGCGCUUACUAUAUGCAGAGAUUAUGGGAGGAAGACUAUAUAAAGAGUCCAAAGUGUGUCAUAUAAAUUUAAAAGGAAAAAGAAGUUGUGUCCCCAAAUAGUCCAACUUAACUGUUAUCUGCGUGAUUAUCACUUCAUUGUAGACAAGUCGCUGACUUGUGUGUCUUCCAUAGUCAUCUGCCCACAUAGCCACCUGGAAUUAAUUGGUAUUCAGAUGGUGUAAUGGCGUGUCUUUUCUCAUAGUAGGUCACACCACUUCCUGUUGCUGAGCUGGGAGCUAUUGACUCACUUCCAAGUGCCUUGGAAAUAACUCCGGUGUUAAUAUAUACCUUGCUCCAAAGGUUGUUUAAACUUCUCUUCAGAAAGAGAAAAUCUUUUGUUGGAGUAUAUAAGUGGUAUUUGUUAUGUUCAAAAUGGGAACUAUUUUUCUCCUUUCAAAGAUGACACAGACAAGUCAUGUGAAGCCUAGUACAUUAAAACCCUUGGUAAAGGCCAAACCAGAAUAUUUUUAAGGUUUGCCCUUGAUCACGAUGUUCUUAGGACCCAGGUUCCUGAUAUUUUUAUCUAAAAUGGUUAAAAAGUUUUGCAGCGUUAAGAAAUUUCGUUUUUGGACCUUUAGUUGCAUUGUUCCUUUUUAAAAAGAAUUUGUUUUAUUUUAUGUUUUAAAGAUUUUAUUUGUGAGCGAGCGAGCAUGUGGGGGGGGGCACAGGGAGAGGGAGGGAGAAUCUCAAGCAGAGUCCCCACUGAAUGCAGAGCUCACGACCCUGAGAUCAUGACCUGAACUGAAACCAAGAGUCAGACGUUUAGUUCAACCCACUGCGCCACCUAGGUGCCCCAAUAAUUUAUUUUUAAGUACUCUCUACACCCAAGGUGGGACUCAAACUCACAACCUGGAGGUCCGAGAGUCAUGUGUUCCAGGGACAGAGCCAGCCAGGCACCCCUGUUGCAUUGUUCUAAUCCUGUUAGUGGUCCAUCUCUACGUCUCCCCCAGGAUUACAUAACCAUUGUCCUAACCACCUAAUUACGUAUCCAACCUGCUUGCUCUGUUAGCUGCAGAAUAUCCUGGCUGUCAGACCCUAGCACGGUGCUCCUGGCCAGUGAGUAGCCCUGGGGUGUGUGUCCCUCUGUCCCCUUCGGCUCCCACCCAUAGAAGGCUUGCCAAAUGUCAGUUGUUUGUUUCCAAAUCUGGUUAUUCCAGUUAGACUUAUUAUUGCAAUUACAGUUAAAUACUAUGUAAACCUUUGGACAAGUGUGGAAAGAGAGUUGGUUUCUUUUUCUUUUUUUUUUUUUUUGAGAGUUGGUUUCUAUGAAAACUUAAGUUGACUGUUUUGGGAACACUUGAUAAAAGUUGAAUUACCAAAAAAAAAAAAAAAAAAAAAACCAGGCCGUUAAAUUAGACGUGGGCCCCGCCAUUUAAAAAACUCGGGGUAAAUUUUAAGGAUUGCGUACAUGCAUUGUUUAGCAAGUGAUUCCCUUUUAAGAACCAAACUUCAUUUAUGCCCAACUUCCUUCCCAACAAACACACCAAAAAAAGCAUAGCGUGGAACACUGAAGAAUUCUUAACAAAUCUGUUACUAAAAGUACAUUUAGGUGUUUAAGUUAGAAUGUCAAAAUCUUUAUGGAUUUUAAGGUUUCCCGCCUGACAGACUUUAUAGGAGCUAACCAGCUUCUGGCCCCUAUCUCCUCUGAUUAGAACGCUUCCAUUGUAUUUAGCCCUAAUCCCCAGGUAUUAGAGCAGACUCCCCAUCUAGUUCAUGCCAGGUGCACAAGGUGACUUACAGUGGUCCUGCCGAGCUAACUUGAAUUACUUGUAGAAUUAAAAACACAGUUGUGUCAGUCACUGGAUGGCAGGGGACAGAAAGAUUUGUGAUUUUACACCUAAUUUAUAUGGAGUUCAGAAGCUUGUAUUUUGUAAUCCAGCAACCUUAAUUAUUGGGUCUCACUUAGAUACUGCUGACGGUUCGUUCCCUUUCAAAUCCUUAAACCUACCUGUUAAUGGAAAGGAGACCAAUUGAAUCUCAGUUUCUUAGUUUGAAUCAAUUUCUCUUUUGUUUCUUUCGAUCUCUAGGAGGUAACCUCUGAUACCUGCCUCCCCUUCCUGGCCCCCCCCAGGUCUCAGGUACUUCUCCAGCUGGCCUCCAGUCUCCCUUUUUCUGGUUCCUUUUGUGCCCCUAAAGCCUUUUCCCUGCCUGCCUCAUGAUCACAGGCUUCCUUCGUUCCAGGAGGUGGGAGCUCUGAUGACUUUGGUAUUGCUGUUAAUUUGUCUGCUUUUUUGUAGACCAUCUGAGUGAGGUUUUUCUUACCCUUUUAAUUUUCUUGGGACUUUGGUUAACACUAUACCUUCUGCCAGCCUCACGCCUUUUAUUUAUUUUAAAAAAUUUUUAAAAAGAAUUUAUUAGAACGCAGUGCCUGUAAGAGGGAGGGGGAGGGCAGAGGCAGAGGGAGAAGCAGGCUCCCCGCUGAACAGGGAGCCCACUGCGGGGCUCGAUCCCAGGACGCUGGGAUUGUGACCUGAGCCGAAGGCAGACACCCAGGUGCCCCAGCCUCACACUUUUUAAUAAGGGAGUUUUCAUUCAUUGCCGAUUCAGGAUACAGUCACUAAAAGCGGAGCUGAACCUUGUAGGAAGUGGCAGGGAGAGCUGGAUACCCCUUGGCUCCUGGUCAGGGAAACCUGCCUGCUUCUGGGACUUGCUGUUCCUGCCUCUGCUUGCACGUGGCUUGUGACUCUAGUUCUCUGAGGACGUCUGGGAUCAGAAAGGGUCUGUGUUGUAGGGACGUAGAUCCUGUCCCACCGGUGAGGGCUAGGUCCCACCCGAGCAAGCAGCUGGGACGACACAUCCUGGGCCUCUCGGGUGUGUGUCUGGGUUUCUUUCCACUUCCACACUGUUUUUGCAACAGAUUUUGCUCAUCUUGUGAGAACGCUGCCCAUCUCUCCUGGGGUUCUCUUUGAAGUUUGAAGAAAUGUGCCAGAAGAGCUUGGAUUGUAGAAAACCCCGUAGAUGGGCCACACAACACCCACUCCUCCUGAAAGCAUCCUGAAGAGAAGGCCCAGUCAGUUCGGAAAUCACCGCCCACAUUGGUUUCCAUAGUGCAUUCACACCAGAAAAAAAGAGGCUGUCGAGUCCAUUUUACAGAAGAGAAAACCAAGGCAGAGAGACACUGGCCAGAGAGUUAAAGGCUACAUAUCUUUUCCCCAGUUUUUCGUGGUCUUUAGAAGUAAGAUGAUCACUGUAGCCCCGAAAAGGGGGAGAAAAGGCCAUAACCGGGGCUCUGGGCAGGCUCCGGAGAGGUUUUUUUGCUUAAGAAGGUUGGGGAAGUUAAGGCAGUCUGUCAGCCUCCUGGACCAGAAGGAGUGUGUCCGUCUCAAGUGCAUGUUUGUGUUUGUUGUUUUUUUAAACACCAGUUGGUGGAGCUACCCCCUUAUCCCCAGCUGGCUGUCUCCUUGACUUCUCAUUGGAAAAAGAGCCGAGAUCCCAGGACCCCUUGGGACUGGCUGGUUUGUGCUCUGUGUUUUUGUAAGUGUCCCCCCCCACCCCCCUCGGUGGUACCUGAGGCCCUGCUGGGCGCAUUAGCUCUCCAGGCUUCCAAGGAAGGAGAACCUGCUUUCUCGUUGCAGGGGCUGUGACAGAUCGGCUGGAUAAUCUUUUUUUUUUGCUCUUGUAUUGUCGCCCCUGACUUUGCUGCUUAGGGGACUGUGGGGCGCUGGGGAAAUCAUUUGCCCUCAGUCCUCACCAGGGUCGGGGCCAUGCGGUAAAACAAAGGCUGCCCAGAUAUGUUAAUGAAGCAGCAUGAGUAAUGGGAACGUUAUACAUAAUUACUCACAUAGUCAUAGGAUGUAUGAGGAGGUUAGAAAGGGGAACCCUACUGGUUGAAGUUCUGGAGAGCUGUUUUUGAGGGCUGGUGCUGCUUGAGAGGCCUAAAUUGGAUUUUAAGUUCUAAUUUUGUAAGUCUGUCAAGCUCCACCACCCAUGAAGAGGAAGGCCAGUGUGCAUUGAAAUGUCAUCACCAGCAGUGUUUAGUUACCAGGAAUCCUAGAAGGUUAACAGAAUAGCCAGUUUUUGCCCCUUCAUCCUACCAAUGCAGCUCUUCCCUCAUACACCUGUUUUGUCCAGUAGAAGCAGGAGUUUUUUCCCAGCACUCUUAUUGGGGGGGGGCGGGCAGCGAGAGGGUUGUGUGUGUGGGUCUGUUUUCCAUCAGGAGACCCUCUGGUUUGCUGUGAAUGAGUGCUCCAGGAGAGUGUGGGAGACCUUUUGGUGCCCUGUUUUAUUGCUCUUUUUUAAAAAUCCGGGAGGUUCUUGCCCUAUUAUUUCCUAAGCACAAUUUUGGUUAGGGCUUGAUCUGCAACGGUUAUCUCUUGGUUCUCAUUUCUACCAGCUGUUAAAAUGUUUGGUGGCUCUGGGGGCCGAAACAGGUGCCAGGAGGAAAUGAGCAGCGAUUAGGACUUGAGCAUGUGUUUCUUGCAUUUAUUCCUUCCAUAGGUUUGCAGAAAGAGGGCUACUGAAUGGGUGCUCAUUCUGUGAGGCAGCCGUCAGGUAUAGACAUGAUUAAAACCUGGAGUGUUUUGUGCUUUGCGUAUGUGCCUUUCCGCUAGUACGUGGGCUUCAGUAACAUAUUCCCCAGAUUUCAUUCACAGGCUCGUCGUGAAUAUAUAGGGCACGUCUGUGGUAGUGGAUAGGAUCGGAAAUGAGAGCUGAGUUCAAGGUUGGGUCCUGCGUUACACGGGCCGCGUGACCCGUGGGCAGGCCACGGAACCUCGCGGAGCUGCUUCCUCAUCUGGAAAACUGGUUCCAUGCAUCUCCCGGGCUGGUUACUGGGAGAGCCAGUGAGAUUUUUGAUGUGAAAGCAUUUUGUAAAUUGCAUACGCCCGCACAAAUGGUCAGGGUAUCAUUACUCAGUUGGAAAUCACCAACCUGGAGACAUCGGGCCUGCCAGCAGCCUUCCUAGCUGACUCAGAAAUAAAUGAGUCAAAUGAGUUCUCUACUUUGCUUCUUAAACCAAAUGAGUAGCUUUAGAAGAAGUCCGUUUUGAUGUCCUCUCUUCCCAGCCCCACUCCCUCUGUUUGUUGAAGCUCUCUGUAUCAUCUGGCACUUGACUUCCAAGCCCGUCAGGGUGGUGAACCAGAGGCAGCUUUGACAGUUGAGAUGAGAGUGGCCCUGAAUCUCUGCACAAAGAUGUUCCGCCCAAGGUGUUUAAACCGGAUCUUGGAGCAAUAAUCCUUGAAAUUGAAAAUCCGAUCAUAAUCCUUCAUUGGCUCCCUGUGGCUUUCAGGAUAAAUCUAAACCAAGUGUGUCCUCAGCACAUCACGAGAAGCCCUUUUUGCUCUACCCUGGGCCUAUCCUGGCACCUGUUUCAGUUUAGCAGAGCUCACUCAGCCCCUUGGUCUUUGCACGUCCUGGUUCCUCGAGUGGGUUGCCCGAAGGAGCCCACCCGGCCCUUCUGAGGCCUUGCGGGACAGCCUGCCACCCCUGUCCUCUAGUCAGGCAGGGCUAAGCCCCUUCUUUCUGUCGCCCUGACUCCUUAAACCUACCUCUGGGCACUGGAAUCCGUGGUUGCCUGUCUCUGAUCCUAUUAACCUGCCCAGAGGAGGGGCUGAAUUUAACGUCAGUACGCAGCUGAGGAAAUAAUGGUUGAGGUGAAGCUUUUGGAGUAUGUCAGAUAGUGUCUAGUUGUGGGAGGGAAUUGGUAUGGCUCUAGGGGAGAAAGAUGAACGUAGCUAGCAGAAAUCUCUUAGCUGAGAAAACAGAGGUGUCUGGGGCCGUUGAGCGACUUGCCUGAGAUCGCACAUUUCGUCAGUGACACAGCAGGGGCAUGAAAUCCAGGCCCAGAUACAGCAGCAGGCUUUCUGUCGCUACUGUUCUUGAGACACGGUUUUCUGAAUCCUGCCUCCUUCCAGGGGGAUUCUCAGUUAUCCAUGGUAACUGCAGUCACUGAGUCGUUUCCAUGGGAAAACAAAAUCCACAGGUAAGCCCCAUACCUCCACUGCCGGUAGGACCAGUCCCGUUUUGAAGAUGACUUUUUUGCUUCAUAGGAAACCCUUCCGUUCGGAGGACUGCAAAUGAUACGAACCAUUGCAAUCGCAUACUGGGCAUUCCUGCACUUGUGGGGAGAUACAUAAAUACACACACACACACACAGUUUGACGUGUGUGGGUGCAUGCUCCUGGUUGAUGUUCUGUUACGUGCUUUUUGCAUUUAUAUCUUAUCUCGAUAAUCAGAAUACAACACUGCAGCGUUAUUUUUAAAUGGCUGCAGGGCACUUGGUUGAUCGCUACCGCAGUUUACUCUACCUGCCUGUUCUUGAUGGCCUUUUCAGUUUGGGGCCUGUUGUGCAAAAUGAUGUGCCCAGUAGGCCUUUAUCUGUAUCUUUUCACUUAACUCCCAGAUUCCUCAAAGUGGAAUUACUGGCUCAGAAGUGCCCAUGUUUUGGUUUUGGCUUUCUGUUUUUUGUUUUAGUAGGCUGCACGCCCAGCGUGGAGCCCAGUGCAGGGCUUGAACUCACGACUCAGAUCAAAACCUGAGCUGCCAUCAAGAGUCGGGCGCUGAACCCACUGAGCCACCAGGGCGCCCCAGAAGUGCCCGCUGUUUACAGUGAGAGCCCCGGUACCCCACUGUUUUCUCAGAGAUAGGCUGUACUCAUUGACAGUCCUAUGAGCAGUGCAUAAGAGGCCGGCAGGUUUGUUGGUUUGUUGGCUUUUAAAAACCAAUACAGGCCCUUGUAACGAGUAGUCAAGAUGUCCGUUGGGUUAUAUUUAAGUUUCUAUUUUCUUUCUUUUUUUUUUUUUUAAGAUUUUUAAAAUUUAUUUAUUUGAGACAGAGAGAAUGAGAGAGAGAGAGCACAUGAGAGGGGGGAGGGUCAGAGGCAGAAGCAGGCUCCCUGCCGAGCAGGGAGCCCGAUGCGGGACUCGAUCCCGGGACUCCAGGAUCAGGACCUGAGCCGAAGGCAGUCGCUUAACCAACUGAGCCACCCAGGCGCCUUAAGUUUCUAUUUUCUUUCCUUGUCCUCUCUCAGGGCUUUCCAACCGAACGAGAUAAGAUAGGUGAAAUCACUUUGUAAAGCAAAAUUGCUCUAAGAACACAUUGCGGUAUUAGAACGACUGUGGUCGUGAAGGGUGAACAGAGUAUGUGUACUGGUACAAUUACAUAUUUCCUGCUUAUGAAAUGCUUUCUUGUGAGGCUUGACAUGUGUUAAGAUGACCUGGAAUCUUAAUUGUUUUCACGUGUAAUUUCAGCCUUGUUUGUGAGGUGGGCUUUGCAUGGUUACAAAGGCCCCAUUGGGCCCUGGCUUGGCAGACCAUUCAGUUACAUACAGCUGAUAUAUUCUGGUUGCUUGCCAUGCUCUGGCACCAGGUUAGGUGUUAAGAAAAAGGUUAUCGUCCUUGUUCUCAGAAAAUUUAUAGUUUAGUUGACCGCAGGGCUGCAGAAUACUGGGAAAAGAGCAGGUAGCCUUGGAUAGGUGAUUUGACCUGAGUCUCUGUUUCUUCAUCUAUAAAAUGGGGAGAAUUACACCUUUAAUCUCAAGGACAUUUUGGAGGAGGCAGUGGGAAGCACCAUGGGAAGUGCUUUAUAAACUGGUAUCUAGAUUGUAUUAUUCUUCUAACCCCACAGGUCUUCUUGGCUGACAUUCUUUGGCCCCAAGGUUGAAGAGGGAACAUAGUGUUUCUGGGUUAUCUUCUUUGCUGAUUAUAGCAUGUUCUGUCGUCUGAAGAAAAAGAGGGUAGAAAUGAAAAUAAAGGGCGCCUGGGUGGCUCAGUCCGUUAAGUGUUUGACGCUUGGUUUUGGCUCAGGUCGUGAUCUCAGGGUCCUGGGAUCCAGCCCCGUGUGGGGCUCUGCACUGAGCAGGGAGUCUGCUUUGGAUUCUCUCUCUCUCCCUCUGCCCCCCCUCCCCCCAGUGUGUGCUCUCUUUCUCUCUCUCAAGUAAAUUAAAAAAAAAAAAUGAAAAUCGUGCAGGUGCUCAGCACUUUCCUUCUCGCCAAGACUUGCUUUUUCUUCCUAACUUAAGGGGAAAAAUGCAGCCUGCUCUCUACACUGGACACGCUUUGUUCAGAUGCUGGAUUCCCCACCCCUCCACCCUGGCAUAUGAGGUCGAGGUGGUAUCACAGUGCUGCUAAGAAAGAAGCAUUACUUUUUGGUGUUUUAAAAGAGUAGUUUUGGAUAAACCCCUUUUCCUUCCUUUUUAAUUCUGUAGUCAAGAUGUCCCUUUAGAGAUGUGGUAGAACUUGAACGUUUAUUGGUUUUACCCAAAUUGCCCCCUUUUCCAUUCUCGGGCCGCCCAGAGCAUGAAAGCUCCGUGUGUUCUAUUUUCAGCUUGUAAUAAUGUCUUGAUGUUGGAGGAUGAAAGAGCCAACAGGAAUGGAAGGCAUUGCAUAAGGAGCCAUGGCCUGGAGUCCCAGUUAAAUUGGUAGCACAUGGUUUUCACAUGCCUCGAAGGGCUUUGGUCGCGUUGCCUUGCUGGAGCUGUGUCGGCCACCACACCACAAAACUUGGUCCCUGACACUUGCCACGUGACUCCUUUUCAUAUGGACGAUUCUGAGUGGCAAAGGCCAGCUGUCUUUGAAGCCAAAUGAACAGUGGACUUGGUUUCUUUCUUUUUUUUUUUUUUUAAAGAUUUUAUUUAUUUAUUUGACAGAGAGAGGGACAGCGAGAGAGGGAACACAAGCGGGGAGUGGGAGAGGGAGAAGCAGGCUUCCCGCUGAGUAGGGAGCCCGAUACGGGGCUCGAUCCCAGGAUCCCGGGACCAUGACCUGAGCCGAAGGCAGACCCUUAACGACUGAGCCACUCAGGAGCCCCUGGACUUGGUUUCUUAACAGUGUGGAAAACCUGAAAUGUUGGGUGGGGCCCUCUAUAGAGCCAUUCCUGUGCGUUUAUUUAGGAACGGGGUUGGAGGGGCUUGGUGUGGGGGCCAAGGAAACCGUCUUCUUGAGCCUGAUGAGUUUAGCCUGGUUUUGACAUUCAGUUCUACCAGCCCUGUAGCCUUUUUACUUGGACUCCUCGUUGGUUGCUCUUUUUUGAGGCAUGUUUAUUUUAUGUAUUGACUUAUAGAUACCGCACCCUCAUUCCAAAAAGGAUUUAAGGCCACAAUGAGCAGUCCUCCUGGGAGCAAGUAAUUUUUGCUUUGAUCUGACAAAAGUUGACUUUCUGACUGGGAAAAGUGACAGCCACAUGAAAACACCGGCAGCGGGUCCUUGUCCUUCUCCACCCAGCGGUGUUAGGGCCGAGUAGCUUUUUGCUUUAGCUUUGGAAACUGGAGCUAAAACUUUUAAUUAAAGGCGAGUUUUGUUAAGUAAUAUUGGUAUUGACACCCUAACAGAACUCUUAAUCUGCAAGAAUUUUAAAGAUGCAUGAAAGUAAUCCCCAGCACUGGUAACAUCCUUGAGUGGCAGAGAUCAGGUUUCUGUUUGAAUGCCAGGAUGGUUUAUCACUUUUUUCCACAGUGCAGGGGGCCACGGAGGGUUCUGGAUUUAAUAAUAAACUUCUUUGGGGGGGGAGUAGCGAUUGGGAUAUGUUCGUGCAUGAUUCAGCAUCCUGUGUCUUUAAAAAUGUUUUCAAAUACCCAUUCUGUAUCGUGAUCAUCAAAACUACUGCUAGGAUUCCAAACCAUUGUGGUUUAAACUUAGCUGGAAUCUGAAAGGUGGCUGACAGAGUGAAAGGAAACCUCCUUUAAAUAAGGAACACAUUUGGCCUGCCUGAUUGUUCCAGAGUCUGAGCUCUGGGCAUAUCUGAGCCACGGGCCAAGUCUCCUGGUUGAAGAGGUUGGGGAAUACUUGUUUCAAUUCACUGGCCCGUUCCCUCCGCCCCCCCCCCCCCCCCCAGCUCCGUCUAAACACCAUCAAUUAGUCCUGCAGAAACUCUUGCUGCAGAUACGGACUUGCAAAGCUUCAUGUUACAACCACGUUCUUGUCUAGAUGAGAAACAUACUCUUUUGUUUUUGUCCUUGUGAUAAAUCAGAACUCUAAUGAUGCUAUUAAAACGGGUUCUCUUCUGGCCCUGGUAAGCUAGAAAGCCCUGGGAGGCAGGGAGUGCAGAUCUGACUUUGGGGCAUAUCUGAAGCUCAGAAGCGGUCUUCUUUUCUCCGAAUUCUGCUCCGUGCUCGCAUUCAGUGAUGUGAUCCCUGCCUCAGCGCUGACCUGGCCAAAUGUGAGCACGUAUUUCUCCCCAACCCGCUUUUUCUCGCUUUCCUUCUUCCACGAGACUUGCUGAAGUUGUCAUGUUACUUCUUUCCAGAAUUUAUUGGAGCGGUAGGCAAAGCCUCUUGGGAGUAUAAAUAAUGAUGAUUAUAAAGCACAGUCAGUUUACCAAGGAAGGCCAUUAUCUUUGACUUGCAAAAGCUGGCCCAACAUUACUUGCUUACAGUUGUUUAAUACAAAUGAAGACCUCAGUCGUACCUGUUGUCAGAGGAGUCCUUUUACUCUCAUUGUACACUGCCGUCAUCUCGGUAAAGAACAGAACCACCUUGCCCCCAGGUAUGAGUGCUUGUUCCUUGGGACAGACAUGAUAUACGAGCCAGGGAAAGCCUUGGAUGGUGGUUCAUGGUUGCUUUUUCCCCCUCCCAUCAACAGCAGAUAAUCCUCCCUUGCCGGUGUGGAAAGAUUGCUAAAGCUGAUAAGUAAUAUCUAAUUUACUUCUGGACUCCCCUCCUCUCUGCUUCCUAUCCAACUUACAAAUCCAAAGAUGGCUUUAAAAGUCAUUGAAAGGGUUUGUCUGAAUAGGCCCUGGCAUUGAGUAAAUGCAUUUAAAUGGUAGACUCCCAUGCUCUUAAUUAAAGUCCACAGCAUAGCUCCGGGGGUGGGGGGCGUGGGGGCGGGGAAUAGGAAGCCUAAAGUUGCAGGUUUUAUUUUUUGGGGAGAUGGAAGUUCCCCCUCGUUGCACUUUGAAGUUUAACUACGGUGUUUUAUAGAUACAUAUUCUUGGCACACAUUGUUGUCCUUUGCUGCUGUAUCUUUCGCAAAAGUGCCAGCCCAUUUUAGCCUUUCUUUUUUUAAAACUCUCCUACAUCUCCAACUUAUUCCAGUUCGUUUGGCAGUUCAACUAUUUUUCUUUCUUUUUUUUUUUUUUAAAGAUUUUAUUUAUUUAUUUGAGACAGAAUGAGAGACAGAGAGCAUGAGGGGGGGAGGGUCAGAGGGAGAAGCAGACUCCCUGCUGAGCAGGGAGCCUGAUGCGGGACUCUAUCCAGGGACUCCAGGAUCAUGACCUGAGCCGAAGGCAGUCGCUUAACCAACUGAGCCACCCAGGCGCCCUCAACUAUUUUUCUUUUGGCGUUUCAGUGGUAGUUCAAGACGGAAGGCAUUUUAAGCAUCUCAGCCUUUUCCCUGAGUGAUUUUGGAUGUGAAUGUGAUUUCCCCCCCCUUAACAAUUCAGUGGUUUUUUUAGUAUGUUCAGAGUUGUGCAAGCAUCACCAUGAUCAGUUUUAGAACGUUUUUGUCACCCCCCCAAAGGAAACUCCAUACCCUUUGACAGUCACCCCACAUUUCAUCCCAAUGUCUGUGGUUUCUGGCAGCCACGAAUCCACUUUCUGUCUCUCUGGACAUUUUGUAUAUACAUGGAAUCCUACACUAUGUGGCUUUUUGUGACUGGUUUCUUUCACUUAGCAUAACAUUUUCAAGGUUCACGCAUGUUGUUAGCAUGGACCAGUACACAGCUCCUUUUUAUGACCAGAUAGUAUUUCAUCUUAUGGGCAUACCGCAUUUUGUUCAUCCAUCCAUCAGCUGAUGGACAUUCAGGUUGUUUUCCUCCUUUUGGCUCUUGUGAAUAAUGCUGCUAUGCACAUUUGUGUACAGGUGUUUGUGUGUGUGUGUGGGGGGGGGGUGAUAUUUGCAUUUCUCUUGGAGUAUCUCCAGUUAGGAAACCUGGCACAUCAAACCCACUCAUGACUAGAUUUAUUUACUCCUCUUGAGUUAACCUGCUAAGCGAUUUCUCUCAGCUUGUGUCCCUGAGCCACUGUUUGUUCUGUUCAGCUGAGUGCUAUGCUGGGUUCUCCCCCUCUGGGGCUCUGGCCUUGCCUUUGGGGACUGGGGGUUCUCCUUUUCCUCUCCGCCUGCCUGCCACGCCUCCCUGUGUUUGUAGGGGGGCCAAGAGUGGCCCUACUUCUCUGCCCUUUUGCAAACUGAACAGUGUUCACAGAAGUUUAAGCUAGAACCAUGUGUAUGCUCCAUUUAGGCGUGAAAAAAAAUGGUGGGACUUUGAAUUUUGCUUUUUGUGGGUGCUCCGGUGUUUUUGGCUGUAGUGGUGGGUCUUUCAGAUCCACAUAGAGUUUUGGGAGGGGUAGAAUAAAGACCCUGGCUCCUCUCUGGGGGCAUGAAGAAGGACUAGAAGAACUGUUGCCCUGCCUUACCUUCAGUUUUGACUUUCUCGUGGUUACGUUAA